UACAGAGGGGGCAAGCGUUAUUCGGAAUUAUUGGGCGUAAAGGGCGCGUAGGUGGCCUGGCAAGUGGAAGGUGAAAUCCCUCGGCUUAACCGAGGAACUGCCUCCCAAACUGCUUGGCUUGAGACCGGGAGAGGUGAGUGGAAUUCCCAGUGUAGCGGUGAAAUUCGUAGAUAUUCGGAAGAACACCAGUGGCGAAGGCGGCUCACUGGACUGGUAUUGACGCUGAGGUGCGAAAGCGUGGGGAGCAAACAGG
rnacentral:rRNA from 1 species